CAUCUUUUGGCCAGAGGAGGACUCAACACAGACCCAUGUAAAAGAACAAAGGCUCAUUCUUAUUCAGGGUCUAGCUGGUGAAAGGGUGGAGAUGGGCUCCCAGCAUGCACUUGGGCAGAAGAGGAAACAUCUAUUAAAGCUGAAGGCCUACACUGACCUUGUAGCAGCACAAAAGUGAACCCUGGAAACAGACCACGGACCAGCAAAUGUCCCAAGCAAGCAAACAAAGAUAUCUGAUGUGGCUGGAGUUGGUGCUCCCAGACGUGUGCCACAGCAGACAGUUGACAAGCUUAUGAUCAACUUUAUUUGUGAGGGUCUUCAUCCAUUUUCUAUUGUCGAAGAACCUGCAUUCAAAAAUCUUUUGUCAACGCUGAAUCCUCAAUGCAAGGUCAUUUCUCGACCCACUCUCUAAGCCAAAAUACUGGAAACUGCCAAUCGAAUAAAGGUCAAUUGUGUAAUGUAACAUUAUAGUAGAGUCAGCUAUGUUGCCACCACUACUGAUUGUUGGACAAUGCACCACAGCAGCUAUAUUUGCGUCACUGCCAACUGGAUAGAUGAAGAAACAUUGGAAAAACUGCUGCAUUUGCCUGCAAGAGGUUGAGAGGGUCCCAAACCUUUGAUGUUCUAGCAGGUGCCCUUAAUGACAUUCACUCACAGUACAAGAUAAGAGGGAAGGUGGUGAGAACCACGACUGACACAGGUUCAGACUUUAUUAAAGCAUUCAGUGUGUUUUGUAAUCAGGGUCAGUCUGAGAAAGCAGAGUUGGAUCAAGAUUCUUCUGAAGAACCCCAAGCAGACUACCAGGGCACAUUCAGCAUCUUGGAAGAAGACAGUGGUUUUGAAUACUAACAUCCUCCACAUCAAAGAUGCGCGGCCCACCUUUUAAACUUAGUUGCUACAACAGAUGCUGCCCAGGCAGAAGAGAAGAAUGAUACAUACAACGGCUAUCACAUGCAGCCUUUGGAAGAUGUUUUGCAAUGUGGAGCAAAACAAACUGGUCAUAUAUAGCUGCAGAAAGUGUUGAAGAUGAAUGCAAGCUCUAGCUCAUCCGGCCAAAUCAAACUUGGUGGAACUUAGCAUGUAUGGCUGAAUUUUGUGGAUUUUGCAACAGGAGGGGGGAGACGCCAUCAGGAAUGUCUGUGAAAAGUUCAGUGUGACAAUGUGAGUGUUGUUUAAAAUUUCUUUGUUAAGCUGAUCCUUGCACCCUUCAUCUGCAUCUCUCUUUAAUAACUACAAGGAAGUUAAAAGGUAAAAUCAAUAGGGAAUAAUGGCAUUAAUUUUGAUUCACCUGGGGCUGUUUAUGCAAGCUGCAAAUUUAACUGUGUGAGACAUUACUAACUUCUACUGUAUUUGCCACUCGUUGUUGUGUACCAGCCUAAUUAAAACCAAAUGCUAAAUAUGGAAGUGGACUGAACUAUUUUACUGGCUUCUGCACAAAAAUCACCUGCUUUUGGUUGGUGGCAUUUGUUAAUUUACAGUUACACUAAGAAGGGAAAUGUUUAAUGUUUUUGAUUCAGUUUCCCUUUUUCCCAAGCCUGUCAUUGCUAGUACUUGCAAACUUUGUUAAUGUGGUCACACAUUGACUUGUUUGAUUUGAAUUUGUUACUU